GAUGAACGCUGGCGGCGUGCCUAAUACAUGCAAGUCGAGCGAACAGACGAGGAGCUUGCUCCUCUGACGUUAGCGGCGGACGGGUGAGUAACACGUGGAUAACCUACCUAUAAGACUGGGAUAACUUCGGGAAACCGGAGCUAAUACCGGAUAAUAUACUGAACCGCAUGGUUCAAUAGUGAAAGACGGUUUUGCUGUCACUUAUAGAUGGAUCCGCGCCGCAUUAGCUAGUUGGUAAGGUAACGGCUUACCAAGGCGACGAUGCGUAGCCGACCUGAGAGGGUGAUCGGCCACACUGGAACUGAGACACGGUCCAGACUCCUACGGGAGGCAGCAGUAGGGAAUCUUCCGCAAUGGGCGAAAGCCUGACGGAGCAACGCCGCGUGAGUGAUGAAGGUCUUCGGAUCGUAAAACUCUGUUAUUAGGGAAGAACAAAUGUGUAAGUAACUAUGCACGUCUUGACGGUACCUAAUCAGAAAGCCACGGCUAACUACGUG
rnacentral:rRNA from 1 species